ACCAUUCAUUAUGGCACCGCUGCCAGUGUGACACUGCUGCCACCGAGUCGGGGGCAGAGGAGGAGGCUGGGUCCUGGCCCAGGUUCAGGGGGGCGUGGCCGGUGUGUUCAGCUUCAUGGCAGCUGCCUCCUGGGCCUUCUGAAGCUUGUAUUUCUGGAUCUUCCGCUGGCGGUUAUAGAGGUAAGCGGCUACACUCACAGUUCCUAAGAUGACAAUGGUUGUCACCAGGAUGAUGAUAAGAAUGUUGUUCUGGUGGUCUGUAGGGAAGACACAGAGGGUUGAGCUGGGCUCACUAACCCCUGCUCCGCCCAGCCCCAAACACCUGCACACUCACAGAUCACGUUGAUGACCACUUCUCGGGUGAUCUCACCACGGGGGCUCCGGGCCUGACACAGGUAAGUGCCAGCAACCUCCCGCUUGACAGGUCUCAGGUCCCCGAUGGGGAGCAAAGCAUCAUCCCCCUUCCGGUGACAUUUCAGCUCAGGAACCGGGUUCCCCCAAGCUUGGCACUUCAGGGUCUGAUGGGAGCCUUCCUCCCACGUCCAGUUUCCCGGACAAUCCCUCUGGUCUAGUCGGGGACCAUCUAAAGAAAUACAGCAAGAUAAAGGAUGGGUGAGGGACCAGGACACCCUUUGCCACCUACAGCUGGAGGACUCAGGAAUCCAGGGAGAGGGCUGGGGGGGCCCUCAGAGGGCAGGAGCUCAUGGAGUCUUAGGGUAACCCCUAAGGAUCAUUGUCCAGUGGCCUCACUCACACAGGACGUGGAGCUCCCGGGUCUGGUUCUUUUGCAGCAUGUGCCCAGCCACCUCCAGGGCAGCAGAGCAGGAGAAGCUGCGCCUGUUGUCGGCAGCGCUGGCAUUUAGUUGGAACUGUGCCCUGGGUACUGCAAGCCCCGAAGGGAGCCCGCUCAGCGACAUCACGACUCCAGCAGGGGCCUCACACUCCACAGUCACCGUAGUCCAUUCUGAGACCUCUGGCUCACUCAGGGUCAGGUUGGGUGCCGGGAAGCCUGGGGACAGGCAUACAGUGAGCACGACCCCUAGGACUGGUCCCACCCCGUGGAAGCCCCGCCCUGUCUGUCUUUACUUACUAUAGAAGGUCACAUUCUCCUGCCACCUCCGAUUCUCGUCUCCCAGUGUCACCUCACACCAUAGCUGCUGGGUACCCUCGUCUUCUGGGUUUGCUUUGACAUUUGCCGUGGCCAAGAGGGAGUCCUUUUUGUACAGGACUGUGGAGUGCAGCCUCUCUUCUGCUAACGCCAGGUGGACUUGGGCCUCCGAAGCUGGGAACACCCCAUCCAGAGUGCAGUCCACAGACCACUGUGUGCCCACUUCCACAAUCGGGGGGGUAGCAAGGCGUGGGGGGGUCUCUGGCAGGACUGGAGAGAGAGGGUGGGUAUGAACACAGGGGACAGGCAAGCUGAAGCCCUUUUCUGGGACAUCCUCUUGCCAGAAGACUCUGGCCUGGGUCACCCCUAUCCUGGCACACAUGCUGGUUCCAGCCUUCUCAGAAGAUCCUGCAGCUGGGGCACCCCAUCCCAGACCACCCCACCCCAGUGGCCAAGUAUAUGCUCUUCCCAGAAGGCUUUGUAAUCUAGGUCACCACCUUGGCGCCCCCACGACCAGAGGCCUCUCUCCCCCACACCCCAAGCAGGAACAUCCCCUGAGCCCAUCCUUGCUGGCAGCUCCCCAGGGCCUCACCAAAGGUUUGGAGCUGCCUGGGCGCCGAGCUGUUCUGGAACAAUCCCAACCCUCGGUGCCUCAGGUCCAGGUCCGUGCGGCACGAGAAGUUGGCGAGGUGGUCCUCUCUGCCCACCGCCACCGUGAACGUGACCUCGGCGGGCUCCCCGACGGCCGGUUGCCGGCUCAGCUCCUCCUCCCCGCGGAGCAGCACCACCGCGAGCAUCUGAGAGUGAGAAGUGGAAAAGAAACUCAAAAUCUAUGGCCAGGAGUCCCGACAAAUAAAUCAGAAAAUGAGGCCUGUCAGCCCAGGAGGGUGGGGGUCUUUGCUUUGCAGAGCAGCUCUCUACAUUUACAGAAAGAAUAAGUCUGACCUGCCCACACAGAUUCGAGGCCUUUCAGAAGCCCCCUUUAAAGGGAAAGAAGGGGCAGCUCGGUGGCUCAGCGGUUUAGUGCUGCUUUCAGCCCAGGGUGUGAUCCUGGGGACCCGGGAUCGAGUUCCGCGUCGGGCUCCCUGCAUGGAGCCUGCUUCCCCCUCUACCUGUGUCUCUGCCUCUCUCUCUCUCUGUGUCUCUCAUGAAUGAAUAAAUAACAUCUUAAAAAAUAUAAAGGGAAAGAAGUUCCUGAAUGUGCCAUGUGAACCCUGGAAAUGUCAAAAAAAAAAAAAAAAAAAA